CACGUAGGGCGCAAGCGUUGUCCGGAAUUAUUGGGCGUAAAGAGCUCGUAGGCGGUUUGUCGCGUCUGCUGUGAAAACUCGAGGCUCAACCUCGGACUUGCAGUGGGUACGGGCAGACUAGAGUGUGGUAGGGGAGACUGGAAGUUCCUGGUGUAGCGGUGGAAUGCGCAGAUAUCAGGAGGAACACCGAUGGCGAAGGCAGGUCUCUGGGCCAUUACUGACACUGGGAAGCGAAAGCAUGGGGAGCGAACAGG
rnacentral:rRNA from 1 species